rnacentral:tRNA from 1 species
AGAAAAUCCGUUGGCUUUAGUGACCGUGAGGGUUCAAGUCCCUCUACCCCCAACCCC